rnacentral:tRNA from 1 species
GCUCUCAUGGUGUAUGGUAGCACAACAGAUUUUGGUUCUGUUUGACAUGGUUCGAGUCAGUGUGAGGCAACA